AACGAACGCUGGCGGCGUGGAUAAGACAUGCAAGUCGAACGGGAUUUGUGAGGUAGUAAUACCUUGCAAGUCUAGUGGCGAACGGGUGCGUAACACGUGAGCAAUCUGCCGGGAAGUGGGGGAUAGCUCGCCGAAAGGCGAAUUAAUACCGCAUAUGGCUGGGGAGGACAUCCUUCCGACGCCAAAGUCGCAAGACGCUUCCUGAUGAGCUCGCGGCCUAUCAGCUUGUUGGUGAGGUAACGGCUCACCAAGGCUAUGACGGGUAGCUGGUCUGAGAGGACGACCAGCCACACUGGAACUGAGACACGGUCCAGACACCUACGGGUGGCAGCAGUCGAGAAUUUUUCACAAUGGGGGAAACCCUGAUGGAGCGACGCCGCGUGGAGGAUGAAGGCGUUUUCGUCGUAAACUCCUGCCAUGCGAGAACAAGAAAGUGAUAGUAUCGCAAGAGGAAGAGACGGCUAACUCUGUGCCAGCAGCCGCGGUAACAC
rnacentral:rRNA from 1 species